rnacentral:rRNA from 1 species
AGCGAUUUACUUCGGUAAAGAGCGGCGGACGGGUGAGUAACGCGUGGGUAACCUACCCUGUACACACGGAUAACAUACCGAAAGGUAUGCUAAUACGGGAUAAUAUAUUUGAGAGGCAUCUCUUGAAUAUCAAAGGUGAGCCAGUACAGGAUGGACCCGCGUCUGAUUAGCUAGUUGGUAAGGUAACGGCUUACCAAGGCGACGAUCAGUAGCCGACCUGAGAGGGUGAUCGGCCACAUUGGAACUGAGACACGGUCCAAACUCCUACGGGAGGCAGCAGUGGGGAAUAUUGCACAAUGGGCGAAAGCCUGAUGCAGCAACGCCGCGUGAGUGAUGAAGGCCUUCGGGUCGUAAAACUCUGUCCUCAAGGAAGAUAAUGACGGUACUUGAGGAGGAAGCCCCGGCUAACUACGUGCCAGCAGCCGCGGUAAUACGUAGGGGGCUAGCGUUAUCCGGAUUUACUGGGCGUAAAGGGUGCGUAGGCGGUCUUUCAAGUCAGGAGUGAAAGGCUACGGCUCAACCGUAGUAAGCUCUUGAAACUGGGAGACUUGAGUGCAG